CGAACGCUGGCGGCGUGCUUAACACAUGCCCGUCGACCGGAAAGGCCCUGCUUUUGUGGGGUGCUCGAGUGGCGAACGGGUGAGUAACACGUGAGUAACCUGCCCUUGACUUUGGGAUAACUUCAGGAAACUGGGGCUAAUACCGGAUAGGAGCUCCUGCUGCAUGGUGGGGGUUGGAAAGUUUCGGCGGUUGGGGAUGGACUCGCGGCUUAUCAGCUUGUUGGUGGGGUAGUGGCUUACCAAGGCUUUGACGGGUAGCCGGCCUGAGAGGGUGACCGGCCACAUUGGGACUGAGAUACGGCCCAGACUCCUACGGGAGGCAGCAGUGGGGAAUAUUGCACAAUGGGCGGAAGCCUGAUGCAGCAACGCCGCGUGCGGGAUGACGGCCUUCGGGUUGUAAACCGCUUUCGCCUGUGACGAAGCGUGAGUGACGGUAAUGGGUAAAGAAGCACCGGCUAACUACGUG
rnacentral:rRNA from 1 species